rnacentral:misc_RNA from 1 species
AAUGCGAUAAGUAAUGUGAAUUACAGAAUUCAGUGAAUCAUCGAAUCUUUGAACGCACAUUGCGCCCGCCAGCACUCUGGCGGGCAUGCCUGUUCGAGCGUCAUUUCAACCCUCAGAACCCCUUGCGGGAUCUGGCGUUGGGGAUUGGCAUCCAGCCAGCCCCGAAAUCUAGUGGCGGUCCCUCCGCGACCUCCCCUGUACAGUAGCGAUACCUCGCAGCGGGACAGCGGUCUGACCACGCCGUAAAACCCCCAACUUCUCAAGGUUGACCUCGAAUCAGGUAGGAAUACCCGCUGAACUUAAGC